rnacentral:rRNA from 1 species
UACGGUAGGGCGCAAGCGUUAUCCGGAAUUAUUGGGCGUAAAGAGCUCGUAGGCGGUUUGUCGCGUCUGCCCGUGAAAGUCCGGGGCUCAACUCCGGAUCUGCGGUGGGUACGGGCAGACUAGAGUGAUGUAGGGGAGACUGGAAUUCCUGGUGUAGCGGUGAAAUGCGCAGAUAUCAGGAGGAACACCGAUGGCGAAGGCAGGUCUCUGGGCAUUAACUGACGCUGAGGAGCGAAAGCGUGGGGAGCGAACAGG